rnacentral:misc_RNA from 1 species
GAUGAAGAACGUAGCGAAAUGCGAUAAGUAAUGUGAAUUGCAGAAUUCAGUGAAUCAUCGAAUCUUUGAACGCACCUUGCGCCCUUUGGCUAUUCCGAAGGGCAUGCCUGUUUGAGUAUCAUGAACACCUCAACUCUCAUGGUUUGCCAUGAUGAGCUUGGACUUUGGGGGUCUUGCCGGCCUAUGGGUCGGCUCCUCUCAAAUUAAUCAGCUUGCCAGUGUUUGGUGGCAUCACAGGUGUGAUAACUAUCUACGCUUGUGGUUUUCCAUCAGGUAACCUUCAGUGAUGGAGGUUCGCUGGGGCUCAUAAAUGUCUCUACUCAGUGAGGACAGCUUUUUUGAACGUUUGAUCUCAAAUCAGGUAGGACUACCCGCUGAACUUAAGCAUAUCAAUAAGCGGAGGA